GACGAACGCUGGCGGCGUGCUUAACACAUGCAAGUCGAACGGAAAGGCCCUGCUUUUGUGGGGUGCUCGAGUGGCGAACGGGUGAGUAACACGUGAGUAACCUGCCCUUGACUUUGGGAUAACUUCAGGAAACUGGGGCUAAUACCGGAUAGGAGCUCUCGCUGCAUGGUGGGGGUUGGAAAGUUUCGGCGGUUGGGGAUGGACUCGCGGCUUAUCAGCCUGCUGGUGGGGUAGUGGCUUACCAAGGCUUUGACGGGUAGCCGGCCUGAGAGGGUGACCGGCCACCUUGGGACUGAGAUACGGCCCAGACUGCUACGGGAGGCAGCAGUGGGGAAUAUUGCACAAUGGGCGGAAGCGUGAUGCAGCAACGCCGCGUGCGGGAUGACGGCCUUCGGGUUGUAAACCGCUUUCGCCUGUGACGAAGCGUGAGUGACGGUAAUGGGUAAAGAAGCACCGGCUAACUACGUG
rnacentral:rRNA from 1 species